rnacentral:lncRNA from 1 species
GUCUUGAUGAUGAACUGUGGUUGUUAACAAAUCCAUGUAUAAUAUAUAUCACAUCACAUACUAUUUCACUGCAAGGGUAGUAAGCCACCAUGAUGUCUGGUUUCUUAAUAUAUUUAAUAAAGACUUUAAAAAAAUCCCUGGUAUUAUAUUGAUAAAAGAUGGCACUACAAAAUUUGAAAAUUUUAAAGUAGCCAAGAUAAUUAAUCGUAAACCACUCAUCUGCUACUUUCAUAUUUCGAAAAAAUAAUAUUGAUACCUGCUUGUGGUUAAUUAUUAUAGACAAAAAGUCCAUAUUACCAUGACAUAACCGUAGCCAGGGGGGUUCAGGGGGUUUGGACGAACCCCCCCCCCCUUUGAAACCAAAUAAGCACUGUUAAAGUCAACGUUCUGUUCAAAUUGUGACUGUUAAAGUCGAGUUCAUGAGUCCAAAUAACCCCCCCUUGGAAAUU